rnacentral:rRNA from 1 species
GACGAACGCUGGCGGCGUGCUUAACACAUGCCAGUCGAAUGGAAAGGCCCUGCUUUUGUGGGGUGCUCGAGUGGCGAACGGGUGAGUAACACGUGAGUAACCUGCCCUUGACUUUGGGAUAACUUCAGGAAACUGGGGCUAAUACCGGAUAGGAGCUCCUGCUGCAUGGUGGGGGUUGGAAAGUUUCGGCGGUUGGGGAUGGACUCGCGGCUUAUCAGCUUGUUGGUGGGGUAGUGGCUUACCAAGGCUUUGACGGGUAGCCGGCCUGAGAGGGUGACCGGCAAAAUGGGGGCGGAGAUACGGCCAAGCCUCCGCCGGGGGGCAGAAGGGGGAAUUUUGGAACAUGGGGCGGAGGCUUGAUGCCGCACCCCCGGGGGCGGAAGGACGGCUUUCGGUUGGAAACCCGCUUUCGCCGGGAAAGAGGGUGGGGUGAGGGUAAGGGGUAAAGAAGCCCCGGCAACCUACGUC